UGUUCAGUUUGACUAUUAUGAGAUGUC
rnacentral:piRNA from 1 species